rnacentral:lncRNA from 1 species
GUCUGCCCUAUAGAUCAUCCUGUCCCAGAGAUCUACAGCAUAAUGGCCUGGAAGCAGUCUUUGUUUUGGAGCCAAGCCCAGCAAAGUCUCAAUUCCUUCCCCUUCAAUCGCUAUCUGGAUGAACAAGGCCAAGUCAUUGACCUUCUCUGGGCCUCAGUUUCCUCACCCAUAAACUGGAGCAAAGUCAUCUCCAAGACAGCAGGAACCAUGUUUACUCUUUAAUCAUUGUAUGCUCACUAAAUAUUUGCUGAACAAGUGAACAAAAAACCUGGUGGUGGUGAAAUUAGACUCCUUCUUGGUGUCACCAGGAGGUCCAGUUAAAGAUACCGAGACUUGAGGAAUUAUGUCCAAGGUUCCAGCAUUGAACAUGAAGCACGCAGGAUUUAUUGGCACGUCGUGAAAACCGUAAAGCCCACGCUUCUACUGCAGUGUUGAGUUUGCGUGCCAACAGGAAAGAAUUCUGCAUGGGAGUCAGAACAUUUGUAUUAAAGACCUGGUUUUACUGGGCAACAGAGCGAGAACUUGUCUCUACAAAAAAUAAACAAAACUAACCAGGCACAGUGGUGUGCACCUGUAGUCCCAGCUACUUGGGAGGCUGAGGCUAUUGGCAGGAGAUCUUCCCAGAAGAAAAAGAAUGGAGG